rnacentral:rRNA from 1 species
GGUUAAGCGACUAAGCGUACACGGUGGAUGCCCUGGCAGUCAGAGGCGAUGAAGGACGUGCUAAUCUGCGAAAAGCGUCGGUAAGGUGAUAUGAACCGUUACAGCCGGCGAUGUCCGAAUGGGGAAACCCAGUGCAAUUCGUUGCACUAUCGUUAACUGAAUACAUAGGUUAACGAGGCGAACCGGGGGAACUGAAACAUCUAAGUACCCCGAGGAAAAGAAAUCAACCGAGAUUCCCCCAGUAGCGGCGAGCGAACGGGGAGCAGCCCAGAGUCUGAAUCAGCUUGUGUGUUAGUGGAACGGUCUGGAAAGUCCGACGGUACAGGGUGAUAGUCCCGUACACCAAAAUGCACAGGUUGUGAACUCGAAGAGUAGGGCGGGACACGUGGUAUCCUGUCUGAAUAUGGGGGGACCAUCCUCCAAGGCUAAAUACUCCUGACUGACCGAUAGUGAACCAGUACCGUGAGGGAAAGGCGAAAAGAACCCCGGCGAGGGGAGUGAAAAAGAACCUGAAACCGUGUACGUACAAGCAGUGGGAGCACCUUCGGGUGUGACUGCGUACCUUUUGUAUAAUGGGUCAGCGACUUAUAUUCUGUAGCAAGGUUAACCGUAUAGGGGAGCCGCAGGGAAACCGAGUCUUAACUGGGCGUUAAGUUGCAGGGUAUAGACCCGAAACCCGGUGAUCUAGCCAUGGGCAGGUUGAAGGUUGGGUAACACUAACUGGAGGACCGAACCGACUAAUGUUGAAAAAUUAGCGGAUGACUUGUGGCUGGGGGUGAAAGGCCAAUCAAACCGGGAGAUAGCUGGUUCUCCCCGAAAGCUAUUUAGGUAGCGCCUCGUGAAUUCAUCUUCGGGGGUAGAGCACUGUUUCGGCUAGGGGGUCAUCCCGACUUACCAACCCGAUGCAAACUACGAAUACCGAAGAAUGUUAUCACGGGAGACACACGGCGGGUGCUAACGUCCGUCGUGAAGAGGGAAACAACCCAGACCGCCAGCUAAGGUCCCAAAGUCACAGUUAAGUGGGAAACGAUGUGGGAAGGCACAGACAGCCAGGAUGUUGGCUUAGAAGCAGCCAUCAUUUAAAGAAAGCGUAAUAGCUCACUGGUCGAGUCGGCCUGCGCGGAAGAUGUAACGGGGCUAAACUGUGCACCGAAGCUGCGGCAGCGACACUAUGUGUUGUUGGGUAGGGGAGCGUUCUGUAAGCCUGCGAAGGUGGCCUGUGAGGGUUGCUGGAGGUAUCAGAAGUGCGAAUGCUGACAUAAGUAACGAUAAUGCGGGUGAAAAGCCCGCACGCCGGAAGACCAAGGGUUCCUGUCCAACGUUAAUCGGGGCAGGGUGAGUCGACCCCUAAGGCGAGGCCGAAAGGCGUAGUCGAUGGGAAACAGGUUAAUAUUCCUGUACUUGGUGUUACUGCGAAGGGGGGACGGAGAAGGCUAUGUUAGCCGGGCGACGGUUGUCCCGGUUUAAGCAUGUAGGCGGAGGUUCCAGGUAAAUCCGGUACCUUUUAACGCUGAGGUGUGAUGACGAGGCACUACGGUGCUGAAGUAACAAAUGCCCUGCUUCCAGGAAAAGCCUCUAAGCAUCAGGUAACAUUGAAUCGUACCCCAAACCGACACAGGUGGUCAGGUAGAGAAUACCAAGGCGCUUGAGAGAACUCGGGUGAAGGAACUAGGCAAAAUGGUGCCGUAACUUCGGGAGAAGGCACGCUGAUAUGUAGGUGAAGCCCCUGCGGGUGGAGCUGAAAUCAGUCGAAGAUACCAGCUGGCUGCAACUGUUUAUUAAAAACACAGCACUGUGCAAACACGAAAGUGGACGUAUACGGUGUGACGCCUGCCCGGUGCCGGAAGGUUAAUUGAUGGGGUUAUCCGUAAGGAGAAGCUCUUGAUCGAAGCCCCGGUAAACGGCGGCCGUAACUAUAACGGUCCUAAGGUAGCGAAAUUCCUUGUCGGGUAAGUUCCGACCUGCACGAAUGGCGUAAUGAUGGCCAGGCUGUCUCCACCCGAGACUCAGUGAAAUUGAACUCGCUGUGAAGAUGCAGUGUACCCGCGGCAAGACGGAAAGACCCCGUGAACCUUUACUAUAGCUUGACACUGAACAUUGAGCCUUGAUGUGUAGGAUAGGUGGGAGGCUUUGAAGCGUGGACGCCAGUCUGCGUGGAGCCAACCUUGAAAUACCACCCUUUAAUGUUUGAUGUUCUAACGUUGGCCCCUUAUCGGGGUUGCGGACAGUGUCUGGUGGGUAGUUUGACUGGGGCGGUCUCCUCCCAAAGAGUAACGGAGGAGCACGAAGGUUAGCUAAUCCUGGUCGGACAUCAGGAGGUUAGUGCAAUGGCAUAAGCUAGCUUGACUGCGAGCGUGACGGCGCGAGCAGGUGCGAAAGCAGGUCAUAGUGAUCCGGUGGUUCUGAAUGGAAGGGCCAUCGCUCAACGGAUAAAAGGUACUCCGGGGAUAACAGGCUGAUACCGCCCAAGAGUUCAUAUCGACGGCGGUGUUUGGCACCUCGAUGUCGGCUCAUCACAUCCUGGGGCUGAAGUAGGUCCCAAGGGUAUGGCUGUUCGCCAUUUAAAGUGGUACGCGAGCUGGGUUUAGAACGUCGUGAGACAGUUCGGUCCCUAUCUGCCGUGGGCGCUGGAGAAUUGAGGGGGGCUGCUCCUAGUACGAGAGGACCGGAGUGGACGCAUCACUGGUGUUCGGGUUGUCAUGCCAAUGGCAUUGCCCGGUAGCUAAAUGCGGAAGAGAUAAGUGCUGAAAGCAUCUAAGCACGAAACUUGCCCCGAGAUGAGUUCUCCCUGACUCCUUGAGAGUCCUGAAGGAACGUUAAAGACGAUGACGUUGAUAGGUCGGGUGUGUAAGCGUAGCGAUACGUUGAGCUAACCGAUACUAAUGAACCGUGAGGCUUAACCUU